GCUUAUAGCGUUUUCAAGUGAACGGAUUUGUCUUGUGGCGGAUUUACUAUGCAUUCUCUCUACGACUUUCUAGGUCCAAUGAGAAUCUUUUAGGGACAAAAAUAUUGUUGGCUAUAAUUCCCAUAGUUUAUUGAUAGUGUUCAAUCUUAUAAUUAGUAUAUUUUAUGAUUUACGCUUGUCUAUGUAUAAAGUAUAGAAUCAAUCGCCGGGAAUAAAAUUUUAAUGUGUAGCGAAAAUUGAUAAACGAAUCGAAAACUAUAUGUGUGUGUGCUUGCGCUGAAUUAUAUGUUAUUCAGAAAGUUCUGAGAAUUAAGGUUAUUUCAAGUCUAGUUUUGAUAUCAGCCAUUCAGUAUGGAUACAAAAACUCUUCCGAGUCUCUUGAGUUUAAAAGUAGCUCCUCCAUCAGAGUUACAAAAUCAAAACAUUGACAAUGGAGUUGGAGAAGGAGAGGGUGGCUCUGUCAAGCUUCCGGCUGCCUUAGAACAAGCUCUAGCAUUUAAAACUGAGCGGGCUAAAGAAGUAGGCGGGGAUCCCAAUGAUGUUGUUUCUGUGGAUAAAUCACCGAAGGAUGAUGGCGAGGAUGUUCCUCAGAUAGAAGACGUCAUAACGGAAAUAGAAUCGACUACGGAAAAGGUAGAAGUCAAAUCAAGUAAAACAAAGAAGAAGAAGAAGUCGAAGAAAAAGAGACACAAUAUAGAGAAGAAGGAUGCAGAACAGAAGAAGGACAGUGCCGAACAUGGCAAGAAUAAAGAGGAUAUGCCAGAGAUAGAAUAUAUACAGGAGAUACCGAGCAUAAACGAUUUAGAACCGAUGUACCGUCAAUUUGCCAGAGUCUUUGAAGCGUUCAAACUUAUAGAACCGGAACCAAGUCCAAAUGAUGCGGCUGAUAAAGGUGAACCCAUCGGGCAGUAUCCACCAGUAACGAGUAUACAAACUGCUGGCACUGGUGUGCCGAGCAAGGUACCGCUGUUGGAUGAUUUUGAUGAUGAUGCAAAUCAGCAGCAGCAGCAACAGGGUACUGGCGAGAAUGGUGCUCCGCGUCUGUCCAAGCGGAAACUGAAGAGGCUCACGCGGCUAAGCGUGGCGGAACUGAAACAACUAGUGGGUCGUCCCGAUGUCGUGGAGAUGCAUGACGUCACUGCGCGAGAUCCGAAGCUGCUGGUGCAAUUGAAGGCGCAUCGAAACACGGUCCCUGUGCCGAGACAUUGGUGCUUCAAGCGAAAGUAUCUGCAGGGCAAACGAGGCAUAGAGAAGCCGCCCUUUGAUCUACCGGACUUCAUUAAACGCACCGGUAUCACGGAGAUGAGAGCGAGCUUGCAAGAGCGGGACGACACGCGCACAUUGAAGGCAAAGAUGCGAGAGCGGGCGAGGCCCAAGCUGGGUAAAAUCGAUAUCGAUUAUCAGAAGCUGCACGAUGCGUUCUUCAAGUGGCAGACGAAGCCCCGCAUGACGAUUCACGGCGAUCUGUAUUACGAGGGCAAGGAGUUCGAGACGCGGUUGAAGGAGAAAAAGCCCGGUGAACUGUCGGACGAGUUGCGCACAGCUCUAGGAAUGCCGGUGGGUCCGAAUUGCCAGAAGGUACCACCGCCGUGGCUCAUAGCUAUGCAACGUUACGGCCCGCCGCCGAGUUAUCCAAAUCUCAAGAUACCCGGUUUGAACGCGCCCAUACCAGAAGGCUGCGCGUUUGGUUAUCAUGCCGGCGGAUGGGGAAAACCACCUGUGGACGAGACAGGCAGACCGCUGUACGGGGAUGUAUUCGGUAUAUCACGCACGUCCGGCGCGGACGCAAUGGACGAAGAGAUAGACCGGGGCAUGUGGGGCGAGCCCGAAUCAGAGUCGUCAGGCGACGAAGACGAAGACGAGGACGCCGAGGAGGGCGGCGAGGGCGGUGAGGGCGAAGGAAAGGAUGGCGACGGAGACGCCAGCGGACUCGUCACACCCGGCGCUGAGGGCCUGAUCACACCGAGCGGCAUCACGUCGAUCCCGGCCGGCCUGGAGACUCCGGAGACCAUCGAGCUGAGGAAGAAGAAGAUCGAAAGCGAGAUGGAGGGUGGUGACACACCCGCACUGUACACGGUGCUGCAGGAACGCCGCACCGAGGGUCUGGGCGCCAGCAUGAUGGGCAGUACGCAUGUUUAUGACAUGACUGGUGCGGCCGGCGGCCAAGCACCGCCGUCUGUGAUCGCCGCGCGCCGCGGUGGUAUCAGCGGCAGCGCGAGUGACGCCCGAGCAGAGAAGGACGGUGCGGUGGAAUUGACACUGGACCCCAGUGAGCUGGAUCUCGACUCCGAGGCGAUGGCAUCUAGAUACGAAGAGACGAUGAGGUCGAGGCAAGCGCAUCUUAGGAGGGAAGAUUUAUCGGACAUGUUGCAAGAUCACGUACAACGGCAAAAGAGCAAACGUAAACGUCAGCAAAUUCAGGAUACAAAGACAUCUAAGAAGUAUAAAGAAUUUAAAUUCUGAACACUCUGUCAUCUCUUCGUUUGUGUAUUGUACCAUAGGAAUUAAAUUGUUUGAGAUAAGCUCAUCAACGGUCGUGAGAGGCAUCGUAACAGUACAAAGAGACACGGAAGAGAGAUAGCGAUAAUAAAUUUACUGAUAGCGCUACCGA
rnacentral:misc_RNA from 1 species